GCGGUGUUUUAUUCCAUUCAGAGGAACUUGUCCCAUAMUCGAUAUUCCUCGUUUUAUCUWACUUGAUUUAAUUAGUAUGUAUAUCGCCGUUAUAAGUUUAUUUUUUUAGAUUUUAUUUACUAUUAAUUUUAUUAAAUUUUAUUUCAGGUCAAGGUGCAGUUUAUAAUUAAGUGGUGGUGAGUUACAAUGUUAUUUCAAUAAAUGAAUUCUUUUUUGAAAUUUUUGAUGAAGGUGGAUUUGAUAGUAAUUUUUAUUAUAMAGUUAUUUUGAUUUUGGCUCUAGAACAAGUACACAUCG
rnacentral:rRNA from 1 species